UGUGUGUGUUCGUCUGUGUGUGUGUGUGUGUUUGUCUGUGUGUGUGUGUGUUUUUUCGUCUGUGUGGGUGUGUGGUCAACGAAGACCUGAAUUACGAGGUGUAGGACUAACAUCCUAGCCAUUUUUACUCUGCCGUCAGUUGGUGCCAACCUUAGAAUUGAUCCUCUUUGCAUAAGCAAGUUCUGCUUCUUCUCCGGCUAUUGCCGGGUUGCCUACUUGUGCGACCAGUCACACAUCUGCACCCUACAACCUGUGUGUGUUGAAAAUGGAAAAGAUAUUCUCACAUACCACGGGUGUCCUGUUGGGAUGCCACUUCUACGAAAAGCAAGCAAAAAGUGGACAAUGGCCGCCUGCUACCCGGGUCACUCGUGCCCUGACCAAUUUUACUGCAAGUUAGAGAAAGAGCAUGGUUUGAAUACUUGCUGUCGCUCUAAUAGAGUGUAGAGAACCCUCAUAAACCCGGGGUGUGCGGGAAGCCCGACCCCGACAGACCAAGGAUCUGUGUGGACACCUGCUUGACGGACAGCGACUGUCCCCUCACCGACAAGUUUUGUGAGAUGCGCCAAAAAUUGUUACACACCAGUAGUGUGAGGAGCACUCUCUCAACCUCUUAAUAUCCAAUCAUCCUUAAUUUCAAAAUUAUCUAUUCACUGACAAACUAUUGCAUGUUUGAAUUUUAUCGUUUUUUAGUUUCGCUUUGUGACUUUAUUCCCUUCUUGUAGGCCGAAUAAGGGGCGAUAGCCAUAGAUUACUAGUGGUGGACUGCUUUAAUGUUACUUUGCCCCUGGAAAUGAAUAACUGGUGAAGAGUUUAGACCUCUAGGACGACGGAAAUCGAAUGUAAAUUGAUUUAAAAAUUCUAUCAACAGACAAGGAUAGUGAGUUAAAUAAAAGUUUGUAAUUAUGAAGAACUAUCACACAGCAGGAGCCGUUCAUAAUGACAAAAUUAUUACGUGCACAAAUAAAAUAAAUUAUAUGGAAAAGACAUUUGUUAUGAAAUUGACAAAACUGGACUGUACACCAUUCUUCAAAGAGAUGAAUGCUAUUUCAGGUGAAAGAAAUAAAUACAAAGUUGUACAACUGAUGUUGAUAAAAUGAUGGUGAAGUUGUUUAUUCAAUUUACACCUUGACUAUUCUUUCCACUAGUGAAAUUAACGAAAUUAUGAACUCUUUUAGGAUUGAUAAAGCUGGUAUUCUAGAUAUUUUGUUUUUAAGAAAUCUUUAGCCAAAGCUUUACAAUACACUAGAAAGAUUUGUUUAAUUGUUGAGUUUGAAUAGCUACUUGUUUAUGAUCGAGAGAUGGCAAUAUAUUCUUUGCAUAUAUCAA